rnacentral:sRNA from 1 species
AACUCGGAAGCUCGCGCUCCCGGGCCGUGGGGGCGAGAACGCCGGCGGGGAGCCGGCGUCGCUCGCCGCCCCCAGACAGUGGCAAACUUCGCGGCGUUCCCGGAGCUCGUCCGGGCGACGCAGAUACCGCACAAAUAAAAUCAAAUCCAAUUCCCCCAUCCCAACCCGAAUGAUGGAGGCUGCGGCGGCCGGAGUGACCCCGCCGCCGCCAGCCCCAGCCCGUUAGCCGCGGACCAACAGGAUGAACUUACUGCUGUGAAUGUAAAGCAAGGCUUCAAUAAUCAGCCAGCCUUCACUGGAGAUGAACAUGGCUCAGCCAGAAAUAUUGUAAUUAACCCAUCAAAGAUUGGAGCUUAUUUUAGUAGCAUAUUAGCUGAGAAACUGAAGCUUAACACUUUCCAGGACACGGGAAAGAAGAAACCACAAGUUAAUGCUAAAGAUAAUUAUUGGCUGGUUACUGCUCGAUCCCAGAGUGCAAUUCAUAGUUGGUUUUC